UUUAAGUCUCCUGAAGGAACGUUGAAGACGACGACGUUGAUAGGCCGGGUGUGUAAGCGCAGCGAUGCGUUGAGCUAACCGGUACUAAUGAACCGUGAGGCUUAACCUUACAACGCCGAAG
rnacentral:rRNA from 1 species